rnacentral:rRNA from 1 species
CCCUUAGAUGUUCUGGGCUGCACGCGCGCUACACUGAUUCAUGCAACGAGUUUUGUCCUUGGCUGAAAGGCCUGGGUAAUCUUUGAACGUGAAUCGUGCUGGGGAUAGAUGAUUGCAAUUAUUCAUCUUCAACGAGGAAUUCCUAGUAAACGCAAGUCAUCAGCUUGCAUUGAUUACGUCCCUGCCCUUUGUACACACCGCCCGUCGCACCUACCGAUUGAAUGGUCCGGUGAAAUCUUCGGAUCUGAGAGAUGUUGGAUUAAUUUCUGACGCCUUUUGGAAAAGUCGCUUAAACCUUAUCAUUUAGAGGAAGGUGAAGUCGUAACA